CUCACUUUACCCCUUGUGCUUUAUGCUCGUGUCUUUUGUUCCCUUAUUCCAUCUAGUUCCUCAUAACAAUCGUUAACUCUGCUUAUAUGGCAGCCACCUAAGUUUGGUGAUGCAGUGCCCUAGAAAUUGAAGGCUCAUAUCAAUUGAAGACAAAUUGGUCUUCCUCUAUUGUGGGUCUUCGUUGCUGCUGUUGUAGUCAGUCAUCAUCAAUUGAUUAGAUGGACACUGUUGAAGGAAGGCAUCAGCGGUGUCAGUGUGGAAAGCUAGCUAAAAUUCAAACUUCGUGGACUGAUUCUAACCCAGAAAGGAGAUUUCUAAUAUUUCCAAACUCGAAGGGAAGACACCAGAAAGGAUGUUACUUUUAGGAGUGGUUUGAUCCCAAAAAUUUUGAACGUUCAAAGAUGGCGAUACCUGGAUUACUAAGAAAGAUUGAUAGAUUAGAAGAGGAAAAAGCAAGAGGUUGAGGAAAAUCAAGAAAAAAUUGGGCUACUAUGUUGUUUUCUUUAUUUUUGUUUGUUGUCAUCAAGUUAGUUUGAAGGUUCAUGUUAUGAAAUAUGUUUAAGAAGUUGUGUUUUGUGAAGUUAAUAAUGUAACUUGUUUAGUGAAGGUUGUAUCUGGGUUUUUUCCCUGUUUCAUCAAUGAAAGUUCAUGCUUCACUUAAACAAAAGGAUCGGCUGAACCAUAAUUGGAAGUUGCACUUUUUUUUUUUCUUUUUUGGUGUAGGCCUAACACAACAAAGCCAAAGGCAAAGAAACCUAGGCCACAACACAAUAAAACCAAAGGCAAAGAAACCUAGGCCACAACACAAUAAAACCAAAGGCAAAGAAACCCGAGCCACAACACAACAAAGCCAAAGGCAAGGAAACCUAGGCCAAAACAGAGCAAAGCCAAGGGCAAAGAAAUCCAUGACAAACCUACAACAGCAUAAACAAACAAAAUAGCAAGUUUAAUCCUAUUGCAAUCAAAUGAAAUUAUCCACCAAAUACCAAAUAGUCAUUGCAUAACUUCCAAAUGUCGUCAUAAGUUCCAAACAUAAGUUCAAAAUCAUAAAUUCCAACAGGUUCUAAAAUAUAAAUUCCAAACAUAGGGUCUGCAGUAAUAACACCCUAAUCCACAUAAGUCCAAAAUAUUUUCAAAAUGACAAUAGCCCAAUUUGCAGCAAUAGCCCAAUUUGAAUAUAAGUGUUUUAAACAGUGUCUUUGCUCUGCAUUUGGGAAUAAAGUUGCUACAGCUUCUAAAAGACCUUCUUACUUGUCAGAUUUUUUUUUUUUUUUUUUUUUUUUUUUUUUUUUGGGU